ensembl:lncRNA
ACAACUGACUCAGUGCUUGCCUGAGGUGAUCAGUCAGAGGUUCAGGCUGUGAUUCAACAGUUCCCAUACAACGUGGUAGAUGGGGAUUUCUAAUUACAUGUCCUGGAGAGAUAGAGGGGAAGGCUGCUUUGAUAAAAGUGAUGUCUACCAUUUGACUUCAAAACUCUUAUGAGCUCCUGAUUUCAGAAUCUGUUUCUCUUCCUAAACUUCCCAUUUUUCGGUUGCGUAUUCAAUACUUUAUUUUCCCCUUUGAAAAACAUCAAUAAAUAAUAUGUAUCCUAUCCUUUUUGCAGAGCUACCUAAAAUGCACCUGGUGACAAUAUUUCUGUAGUGACAUUUAAAACUAUAUACAUUUUUUCAUACACUUCUGAAGGUAACUGCUCUGAAAAAAAUCCAUAUCCAUCUUAUUAGAUCCUUCUAUGGUUUUGAAUUCAUAACAGUAACUGCUCUCAUAAUAUUUCAUAGGCAUGGUAUGGAAAAGCAGGUAAAAGAUUUGUUUUUCUCCUUAGACUUCAUAAUUAUAAAUAACAAAAUGAUCUCUUUCUCUGUAAUCAAAAGGAAUUGUCUGAAGACAAUCAAGUAAAUAUAAAUAAAAUAUAAAUAUAAAUAAAAUUAAUAAACUAAACACCAACACUGCUGUAAUUAGAUAAGUGUUAAAAUCUUUACAACAAAAUGCUGCAAAACUAUUACGUUUUUAAUCCUAUGUAUAUGUAAAGGGAGCAGAUGAAUGUACAUACAUAGAUGGCAAUUAGGAUUAAGUUUCAGUUCAAGAUGGAGUAGGAGCAGUUUAAAAAAAUACAGAAUAUAAUGUCUAACUUGUGCUAAUAAACUCUUCAGUUAUGCUAUCAAAAUAUGAUAUACUGAAGCGCAUUGAGAAAGAAACAAGGAGCUCAUAGUUGGAGUAAACUAUAUCUCACACGAUAGAAAGGAAACCUCCUAUUUGGAAUGACAUAAGCUAAUCAUGUGUCCAGUUGUGUAAAAGCUGAAUGUUGCCUGCAGCCAAUAGGAAUCACAGAAUUGCAGGGGUUGGAAGAGACUUCAGGAGAUUGAGUCCAACCCCCCUGCUAAAACAGGCACAGGCAGAGCUCCCACGGAGAAACAUGGGAGGCCCAAAAUGAAUGAUGGAGGAUGGAGGCUUUCAAACAAAGAAACCACAGAUGGAGGCAAGGGAAGACUGUGCUUCUGCCAUACAAAAAGUUCCACUGAGGUGACUACCUCCAAAGACAUUCUGAAGAUAAUUGAGUAAGUGGGUGCGUACCUAUGUACAGAAUAGCAAAAGGCGUUUUGCCCUGUUCUACUUGCUGAACAAUGUUUGCUUGAGAUGUUACAGCAAGGUGAAAAGUUUGUAUUUCCUGCUCCUGCAUUUUAGGCACUGCAUUAUUUCUUCUUAUAUUCACCACUCUUUCACAUGAAGAUAAAGUAGCUGAACAACAGGAGGAAUUAAUAUGACUGUUUUGUUAUUGAAAAAUGCUCAUUAUGGAACUAAGCAUAAAAAUAUUAGUUGAUUUAAACCGACAGAUUGUAACUCUGGAGGAAAUGUAAAGGACCUAGGCUAAACGGCAACAUCUCCAUAUUCUCUUAGAACAAUGCCUUUGGUUAAGUUAAAACUGUGAAAUCGGCCUGGAUCUAUUAGUGACAGCUAUAUUUUAUUAUGAGGCUCAGUUAUAUAAUAAAUGUCAAUCAUUUGUUUUCUUUUAUUGUUUUAAUCAGAAAGGCUUGAAUGCUUGUGAAGAGUCUAAGGGAAAGGGAGUCAUUUGUGUCAGUAAUUUAAUAUCAGAUUUUGUGAGUAAAGAUAAAUGCUGCAUUUAGUUUUGAAAACCAGACACAAGGGCCAGACUACUCCAAUAUAUUCCCUUUUUACUCCUGUUCUAUCACUGAAUCUGGGAUAUACUACUUUCUAUAGAACCACUGAAGAGGCUGGUAAUUUUCAUUCUAUCAUGUUAUAUUAACAGCGUGUCCUUCCCUGUAUCUUUGACCUUGAUGUAUGGAUGUCAGCAUCUGUAAUAUUUUUUCUUUGAAAACACAAAUCCAGGAUGUGUAGAAUUAUAGCGUACCUCUCUGAACUCUUUAAAUAAAUUUCUUGUGUCACCUUGUCCC